CUUAACACAUGCAAGUCGAGCGGAAACGAUGAUAGCUUGCUAUCAGGCGUCGAGCGGCGGACGGGUGAGUAAUACUUAGGAAUCUACCUAGUAGUGGGGGAUAGCUCGGGGAAACUCGAAUUAAUACCGCAUACGACCUACGGGAGAAAGGGGGCAACUUGUUGCUCUCGCUAUUAGAUGAGCCUAAGUCGGAUUAGCUAGAUGGUGGGGUAAAGGCCUACCAUGGCGACGAUCUGUAGCUGGUCUGAGAGGAUGAUCAGCCACACCGGGACUGAGACACGGCCCGGACUCCUACGGGAGGCAGCAGUGGGGAAUAUUGGACAAUGGGGGCAACCCUGAUCCAGCCAUGCCGCGUGUGUGAAGAAGGCCUUUUGGUUGUAAAGCACUUUAAGCAGUGAAGAAGACUCCGUGGUUAAUACCCAUGGACGAUGACAUUAGCUGCAGAAUAAGCACCGGCUAACUCUGUGCCAGCAGCCGCGGUAAUACAGAGGGUGCAAGCGUUAAUCGGAAUUACUGGGCGUAAAGCGAGCGUAGGUGGCUUGAUAAGUCAGAUGUGAAAUCCCCGGGCUUAACCUGGGAACUGCAUCUGAUACUGUUAGGCUAGAAUAGGUGAGAGGAAGGUAGAAUUCCAGGUGUAGCGGUGAAAUGCGUAGAGAUCUGGAGGAAUACCGAUGGCGAAGGCAGCCUUCUGGCAUCAUAUUGACACUGAGGUUCGAAAGCGUGGGUAGCAAACAGGAUUAGAUACCCUGGUAGUCCACGCCGUAAACGAUGUCUACUAGUCGUUGGGUCCCUUGAGGACUUAGUGACGCAGCUAACGCAAUAAGUAGACCGCCUGGGGAGUACGGCCGCAAGGUUAAAACUCAAAUGAAUUGACGGGGGCCCGCACAAGCGGUGGAGCAUGUGGUUUAAUUCGAUGCAACGCGAAGAACCUUACCUGGUCU
rnacentral:rRNA from 1 species